rnacentral:rRNA from 1 species
UACGAAGGGGGCUAGCGUUGCUCGGAAUUACUGGGCGUAAAGGGCUCGUAGGCGGUCUGUCGCGUCGGGAGUGAAAACUCAGGGCUUAACCCUGAGCCUGCUUCCGAUACGGGCAGACUAGAGGUAUGCAGGGGAGAACGGAAUUCCUGGUGUAGCGGUGAAAUGCGCAGAUAUCAGGAGGAACACCGGUGGCGAAGGCGGUUCUCUGGGCAUUACCUGACGCUGAGGAGCGAAAGUGUGGGGAGCGAACAGG